rnacentral:rRNA from 1 species
AUCGCGUCGCCCCCCACAGCGCCCAGCGUGCUCGCGGGGAGCGGAUAUUGGCCUCCCGCGCCCCCGGCGCGGAUGGCUCAAAAUGGAGUCCCCGACCGAGGACGCACGACGAGUGGUGGUUUUAAAUCUAACCGUCUUUCCGGUCGUGCGCGGGUCCUUGGCGCGGGCGCUUCGACCCUUGCGCGUCGUCCCAUCUCGGUGGGACGUCGCUUCGA